rnacentral:lncRNA from 1 species
AAAAACCCUCUUCCCCAAAGGGUUAGACUGAGCGAAACUUCAAACGGAUGGCAGGAGAUGAAUGAAUUCUAAAAUGGAAACAAUAUGAAACACAUGCGCAAGCUUUGGAGGCAAGAACGCUGACCUCAACCUCAGUGAAAACUAAAGCAAAAGCAGCAAGAGUCUGCGCGGGGCAAACGUCCUUGCGAUGCGACUAGCAGACAAGAGGCAGGAGAUGCGAGGCGUCCUACCCGAAUUUAGUACCUCCAGCAAAUCUGUGGCCCAGCGUGGCCCGAUCAACAAUGGUAGACCGAGCCAUCAACCUGUUUUCCUAAAAAUGAAAGGUGAUCUGGCCCUGACUGAAGACAAACGGGAACAAGCCCAAAAUGAACAGAGUGCCUGGAAGUUUACGCCUGGUAGG